rnacentral:lncRNA from 1 species
UCACAGUUUGAGACAGCUGCCUUCUGUGGGGCUGAGCAGUACAGGAUUUCUUCAGUUCUCUUCCUGCUCCCUUCUGAAAUCUUAAGAAGUCCCAACUACUCUUUGUGCAGCUGGCAUCUAAUUGUGUGUUUGUGUCUGUGUUCCUAUAAUCAUAAUGUGAGGAAAUGGAGAGAGGAGCACAUCCCUGGUCACCAGGACACCUCCCCACACUGUCAUGUUCUCUUCCUCAAUCAACUUUCCUCUGUAGCUGAUGUGGGGCUGAGAUGUCUUCAUUCCUGAUUUAGCUUUAUGUUGCUCUGAACUGUAGCGUCUUUCUUCCCUUUUGGAAAAUCGAAUGUGGAUAUUGAUUAUAUUUCAAAUUUGUGCCACAAAAUAUGUUGAUGGGUUAAUUAAAUGAGAAGAGGAUUCCUAAAAUUUCUGAGAGAAAAUAAAACCUGAAACCUUCCAGAAUCCA